rnacentral:rRNA from 1 species
AUGGCGUCUCCCGGGCACACCGCCUCCAGAGUUCCAGACUCCUUCCUGCCUGGACCCCGCUCCCACGUGCCCCCUCUCCUCUUUUUAAGACCGCGGUCAGGCCGGCCACCGUCCCAUCCCACCACCACCUUCCUCCUCUGCCCCCGCCCAGCUCGUUCCAUUUUGAAGAAGCAAGAAACAGCAGCGCGCACAUCUCGCUGCUCGACGUCGUCGGAGGAAGAGGCGAGGGUGAUGGAGCGGCGGAGGGCUGCAUGGGCCGCGGUGCUGGUGGCGGUGGCCGCGUGCGCGGCGCUGCCGGCGAAGACGACGGCGAACAAGAUCAAAGUCAACUGGUUGCCCAACACCAACUACUCCGGCUGGGAGCAGGAGCACGGGCCCUUCUACAAGGGCGACUGGCUCGUGUUCUACUACACGGCGGGGCAGGCGGACGUGGUGGAGGUGAACGAGUCCGGGUACAACCGGUGCGACGCCAGCAACGCCAUCUACAACUACAGCAAGGGCCGCAGCUUCGCCUUCGAGCUCAACGAGACCAAGACCUACUACUUCAUCUGCAGCUUCGGCUACUGCCCCGGCGGGAUGCGCCUGGCCAUCAAGUCCCAGAAGCUGCCGCCGCCGUCGCCGCCGCCCUCCGCGCAGCACCACCGCUCCGCCGCGCUCGCCGGCCCGCGCGCCGGGGUCGCCCUCUACGCCGCCGUCGCCGUCCUCGCCGCGCUCCUCAGGGCGGUCUAG